rnacentral:misc_RNA from 1 species
CCGAGUGCGGGCCCUCGCGGCCCAACCUCCCACCCUUGUCUCUCUAUACCUGUUGCUUUGACGGGCCCACCGUGACCCGGUCGCCGGGGGACGAACGUCCCCGGGCCCGCGCCCGCCGAAGCGCCCUGUGAACCCUGAUGAAGAUGGGCUGUCUGAGUCGUAUGAAAAUUGUCA